rnacentral:rRNA from 2 species
CCCUAUUAUUUUAGAAUGUUAAUUUUUGUGCCUGAGUAGUAUUAGUUAUGUUCUUGAAACUUAAAGAAUUUGGCGGUAUCUCAUUCCGUCCAGAGGAAUCUGUCCCGUUAUCGAUAGUCCACGUUGGACCUUACUUAUUUGAUUUUGGUUUGUAUACCGCCGUUUAUUGAUUAUCUUUUUAGAGGUUACUUAAUUUUCUGGUUUCUUUAUUUUGAUGUAUUUCAGGUCAAGGUGCAGCUUGUUUUUAAGUGGAAUGAUGGAUUACAUUGUUAUUUGUUUAUGGAUUGUUGAUUUUAAUAUUGGCAUGAAAUUGGAUUUGGUUGUAAUAAUUUGUAGAUUGUUAUUAUGAUAAUUGGUUCUGAGAUAUGCACACAUCGCCCGUCGCUCUCGUUUGUUUAUUAUAAUGAGAUAAGUC